ensembl:lncRNA
CCCCCCUCUCUGAUCUUUUCUUUCUGCUGCAGGUAAAAGAGAGGCGGCUACUGAACUGUCAGUAAAGCCUGCGAGCCCUAAAUCAGAUGACUCUCUCGCAGUGAAUAUGGGCCUUGACACGCCGUUUUUAAACAAAGACGCAGUAUCACACUUGGACGCGAUGGAGGGGAAUGCAGCCAAUGGGACAUGAAAUAGUGUGGCGUCACUCCCUGCCAACGGCUGUGACGGGAGCAGCUACAGGCUCCCAGGAGCAGUGUAGGAUAGAGCCCUGCGCAGAUACUUCGGUGCCCCUAGACAGAUAUUUGAAAAAGAACAAAGGUCAAACGUCUCCCUGUACGCUCAGGUCAACUUCGAAAAAAUGUGGAUGUUCAAAGAAGCGGAAGAAAAUCUGCCCAGAGAAGCGUAAAUGUCAAGCAAGAUAAAAGACUAAAUAUAAAGUAUUCCUCACUUUUCUCACAAUGGAUCCCCC